CCUACGGGAUGCAGCAGUGAGGAAUAUUGGUCAAUGGACGCACGUCUGAACCAGCCAUGCCGCGUGCAGGCAGCAGGUGCUAUGCAUUGUAAACUGCUUUUAUACGGGGGUAAUUACAGAUACGUGUAUCUGGAUGAAAGUACCGUAUGAAUAAGGUUCGGCUAACUCCGUGCCAGCAGCCGCGGUAAUCCGGAGGAUCCGAGCGUUAUCCGGAUUUAUUGGGUUUAAAGGGUGCGUAGGCGGUCAGGUAAGUUAGAGGUGAAAGCUCGAUGCUCAACAUCGAAACUGCCUCUGAUACUGGCUGACUAGAGUGUAGGUGCGGAAGGCGGAAUGUGUGGUGGAGCGGUUAAAGGCUUAGAUAUCACACAGAACACCGAUUGCGAAGGCAGCUUUCCAAGCUAUUACUGACGCUGAGGCACGAAAGCGUGGGGAGCGAACAGGAUUAGAUACCCUUGUAGGC
rnacentral:rRNA from 1 species